rnacentral:misc_RNA from 1 species
UAAAAACUUAAAAAAAAAAAAAAACAACAACUCUUUUAAGCCUUUCCUCGAACGGUUCAUCUACAAGGAGAAACUUCACCGGCGAUUAUCGUCGUUACGAAACCGCCGGUGGGAACCUGAAAUACCUUGAAAUCAGAAGCCAAGCAGAAAACGACUUCUUCUCCUAUCUCGGUUUCAUACAAUAGGUCAUUUCCAGAACAUAACAAACAGCUUUCAUAAUGAAACGGCGACGUUUUGGUGCGUAAGGUUAUAUGCAAGUAUCGAUUGUUGCAUUUGUAUAGGUAGGCAUAGUGGGAGGUGCUGAUGGGAAGGGUGACGGUGGCCGUGGCGGUGGGUGCAGCGGUGGUGGCAUGUGCGGUCGCGGGGGUAUUGUUUGGCAGGAGGGUAAGAAGUAGGAGGAAGUGGAGGAGUGUGGUGGGAGUGUUGAGGGAGUUGGAGGAGUCGUGUGAGACCACAGUGGGGAGGUUGAGGCAGGUGGUAGAUGCUAUGGCCGUGGAGAUGCAUGCUGGUUUGGCUUCUGAAGGAGGCUCUAAGCUCAAAAUGUUGCUCACUUUUGUUGACCAUUUACCUACUGGGAGCGAGGUGGGAACUUAUUAUGCUUUAGAUCUUGGGGGUACUAAUUUUAGGGUCUUAAGAGCUGAGUUAGGAGGUAGAAGGUCCUCAAUCUUGUCAAAAGAUGUAGAACUGCAGCCUAUUCCUCAGCACUUGAUGAGAAGCACUAGUGAGGAUCUUUUUGACUUUAUUUCUUCAACAUUAAAGCAGUUCAUUGAAAAAGAAGAAAAUGGUUCUGAGUUUUCUUCACUUAGAAAAAGAGAACUCGGAUUUACAUUUUCUUUUCCAGUGAAACAAAUAUCUAUUUGUUCAGGGAUCCUUAUCAAAUGGACAAAAGGAUUUGCUAUUGAAGACAUGGUUGGAAGAGAGGUUGUUGAAUGUUUACGAGCAGGACUGAUCAGGAAUGGUUUAGAUAUGGAGGUUGCAGUGUUGGUAAAUGAUACUGUGGGAACACUAGCUCUUGGACAUUAUCAUGAUGCUGACACUGUUGCUGCAGUAAUAAUUGGAACUGGUACUAAUGCUUCCUAUCUGGAGCGGGCAGAUGCUAUUAUAAAGUGUCAAGGCCUUCUUACCACUUCUGGAGGCAUGGUUGUCAACAUGGAAUGGGGAAAUUUCUGGUCAUCUCAUUUGCCAAGAACUUCUUAUGAUGUUGAAUUGGAUGCUGAAAGCCCUAAUCCAAAUGAUCAGGGUUUUGAGAAAAUGAUAUCGGGAAUGUAUCUAGGUGACAUAGUGAGGAGGGUGAUUCUCAGAAUGUCGCAAGAGUCAGAUAUCUUUGGACCUGUUUCUUCCAGCUUGUUAGUGCCAUUUAUUUUGCAUACACCCUUCGUGGCUAAAAUGCACGAGGAUGACUCUCCUGAUUUGCAGGAAGUGGCUAGAAUCUUGAAAGAAAAACUGGAGGUAGAUUAAUCAUAUAUUCAAUUUCUUAUUUUUAUUCUUUUAAAUUGUAAAGGGCUGUGAUUGAAUACUUCUGUUUCUUUUUUCUCGUGUCCCUCCCUCUUUUCUUUUUGUGCUUGCAUAAUUUCAGAUUCCAGAAGUCCCUUUGAAGGUCAGAAAACUUGUUGUAAGAAUAUGUGAUGUGGUGACCCGUAGGGCUGCUCGAUUGGCAGCUGCUGGCAUUGUGGGAAUCUUGAAGAAGAUUGGCCGGGAUGGAACAGGGGGCAUCAACAGUGUAAGAGGUAGAAGCGACAUGAAGAUGAAAAGAACAGUUGUUGCAAUUGAAGGGGCUUUAUAUACAAGCUAUACAGUGUUCAGGGAGUAUUUGCACGAAGCCUUGAAUGAAAUAUUGGGGGAAGAAAUCGCCCAACAUGUCAUUCUUAAGGCCACAGAAGAUGGAUCAGGCAUCGGAGCAGCUCUCCUUGCUGCCUCUCAUUCAUCCUACAGUGUGGAUAGCGUACAGUUGCUAUAAAUAUAUAUUAUUUAUAUUUACAUAUAGCCCCUGUAAAUGUAGAAUUCAUUUCAAUUUAUUAAAAGGGUUGUCUCUAAAAUUUCAUCUUUCAAAAUGGGUUAUCAUUGUAUCUUCAUGUUUUUUUUCCCUCUUUUCCACAUUUGGUUUACUUAAUUUUCUUUUUCUUUCUAGGCAUUGUUGUAUAUUGAUGAUGUCAAAUGUGAAAAU